rnacentral:tRNA from 1 species
GCGAGGAUGGCGGAAUUGGUAGACGCGUCAGUUUGAGGGGCUGGUCCCGGUUUACGGGGUGGGGGUUCGACCCCCCCUCCUCGCA